AAAUCAUUAAAAUUAAAAAAGAAAAAGGCCAAUAAAUUUAAUAAACAUAAACAAAAAUAUUCAACAAAAAUAAUGAAUAAAUCUAGUAAAAAUCCGUAUGAUGUUAAAGUAAGUAAACGGGUGUUGAAUUUAGUGAGAUCAGUUAGUCCAAGUGGAUGUUAUGGUCAUCGAAGUUGUGUAGAAAUAAGAUGUCGUGUUCCUCGUAACAUGGGCUGGUUAUGGAAUACAAAAAAAACACCUGGUAAUAUCAAGCCAAAAAUUGAUUGGAAACCUGGUGCAAUAUCACGACGUGUUUGGCAAAUAUUUCAAUCAAAAAGAGCUGCUAAAUCACUUGAUGAUAUUGACGUGAGACCAGUUGUAAUACCAAUGGUUAAAGGAAAAAAAAAUAAAUUUAAAUCAAAAAGUUUAUUAUCGUCAUUGGCACGAAGUCAACGUGGAAGAAAAAUUGAUGAAUUUGCAACUACUCCAUCUCUUCAUAUUCAUAGAAAAAAAGGUGACUAUUAUUUUACCAUGUAUCCAGUGAAGAAAAUAAAUACUGAUACAUCAAAUGAAGAUGAAGAUGUUAAACCAUUACAAUUUAAAUUAACUAAAAAUCAUGAUGGUGAUUCUGAUCCUUCUGAUCAGUCUGAUUUAGAAAUUGAAUUUUCACCACCUGGUGCACUUGAUAAACCAUCAAAAAUUAUUGAAUAUAAACAUGCUGAUACUCAAGUAACACAUCAAGAAAUUAUAAAUGCUUUUAAAAGUGAAACACUUCCAGUUGUUAAAAAAAAAUUAAAAAUUGCUAAAAAAAAAUAAUUUUAUAAUAAAUUUUCACUAGUUUAAAUAAAAUUAGAUUAAUUUUUCAUAUUGUCUUUUAGAGCACAGUAUUUUUCUAAAGUGUUUUAAAAUUUAAAAAAAAUUACUUGUCUAUUUUUUCAAACGUACAAUCAUAUCAAUUAAAAAAAUCAAUCAAAUUUUUUAUACUAAAAAUUUUAAUAAAUCAAGAAACAGAAAAUAAUAAUUUUUAUAAUUAAAAAAAUUAUUAUCAAUGUACUACCAAGUAGCCUUGAUUAUUAAAUAAUUUUUUUCAAUUUUUUUCUCAACUUACAUAAUAACAUGAAUUUUUUAUAAAUGAAUAAAUAAUUAAUACGAUAAAAAAAGAUUUAAAAAAAAAUUAAUUUGUUUAUAAAAUAAAAGCUAUAAAAAAUAUUUUCAUUUGAAUUUUAAAAAUUCAUAUAAGUUGGCUGUAAAAAUAUUAAUAGAACAUUAUCAUUUGUGUGUUGCUAGCUGGAUGUUGAUAAAAAUAAAUCAUCAAUUUAUUUAGAAAAACAAUAUUGUAUUCGACAGCUGUCUAUGCAUAUGUAUGAGUGCAGUAAAGUACUGACUGGUUGUAGACAUUUACAGUGUUUCUAUAUGUACAUGUUCAGUCAAGAUAAGAUACUUGUUUGGAGCACACAAAACUCACGACCUUAAGAAGUGUAGUGUUGAUAUUUUUUAAAAAUUAAUUAACCGCUUAUUUUAUAAUUUUAUAUACUGUUUUUUAUAUUUUUUUAAAUUUUCAUAUAGAAAAAAUAUAGUGUAAAUUAUUUCGAUUGUGUAAUUAUCAAAACAGUUACAUUGAUUUCGAUUUUCGAUUAAUUUCUGUGAAAAUUUUAUUGAGGCUGCAAGUGGAUUUAAUUGCUCCAAUUUAGAUUUUUUUAUUCUUUCAUGAACCAAUUGGAAAACAUUUUAAUUCAACGUAAAAAAGUCGACAAAAUUUUCUGCUUGAUCUGCAAAAAGUGUCGCAUAAAUAUUUAAAGGAACUUGGAAAGCCAUAGUGAUCAAUCAACAAUUUAUUAUUCUUCACUGGACUAAUUAAAAAGAAAAUAAA